UACGUAGGGGGCAAGCGUUGUCCGGAAUUAUUGGGCGUAAAGAGCGUGUAGGCGGUCCGGUAAGUCCGCUGUGAAAGUCCAGGGCUCAACCCUGGAAUGCCGGUGGAUACUGCCGGGCUAGAGUCCGGAAGAGGCGAGUGGAAUUCCUGGUGUAGCGGUGAAAUGCGCAGAUAUCAGGAGGAACACCGAUGGCGAAGGCAGCUCGCUGGGACGGUACUGACGCUGAGGAGCGAAAGCCAGGGGAGCAAACGGG
rnacentral:rRNA from 1 species